AGGCGGAAGAAAAGUGUCGACCCUCAGGCGAAGUGAAGCCCCUGGAGAAAAGGUGGGGGCUUAAAUAAGCAACGGGGCCUGGCGCAGUUAUGGUGGCAGAUAUCCUUAGGUCAACCAGUGCCCGCCACGUGUCCCACUCACCGUGGCAUAGGGCUGACCGUUCGCGGACCAUUAUGGCAUGACGCUUUGGAUUACGCCCUGGUGGGAGUUUCGAAAGGACUCUUCGGAUCGCCCU
rnacentral:lncRNA from 1 species